GAUAAACGCUGGCGGCGUGCCUAAUACAUGCAAGUCGAACGAGGAGUCCUUGUAGCAAUACGAAGACUUCCUAGUGGCGAAUGGGUGAGUAACGCGUUGGUGACCUGCCCCGAAGAGAGGAAUAACUCCGGGAAACUGGAGCUAAUACCUCAUGUGGUUACCAGGGUUAGAGGCCUGGUAACUGAAGGAGCAAUCCACUUCGGGAGGGACCUGCGUCCCAUCAGCUAGUUGGUAGGGUAACGGCCUACCAAGGCGACGACGGGUAGGGGGCCUGAGAGGGUGGCCCCCCACACUGGCACUGAAACACGGGCCAGACACCUACGGGUGGCAGCAGUAGGGAAUAUUGCACAAUGGGCGAAAGCCUGAUGCAGCAACGCCGCGUGUACGAUGAAGACCUUCGGGUUGUAAAGUACUUUUCUGAAGGACGAGGAAGGACGGUACUUCAGGAAUAAGGAUCGGCUAACUACGUGCCAGCCGCCGCGGUAAUAC
rnacentral:rRNA from 1 species